rnacentral:rRNA from 1 species
AUUGAACGCUGGCGGCAGGCCUAACACAUGCAAGUCGAGCGGAUGAUGGGAGCUUGCUCCUUGAUUCAGCGGCGGACGGGUGAGUAAUGCCUAGGAAUCUGCCUGGUAGUGGGGGACAACGUUUCGAAAGGAACGCUAAUACCGCAUACGUCCUACGGGAGAAAGCAGGGGACCUUCGGGCCUUGCGCUAUCAGAUGAGCCUAGGUCGGAUUAGCUAGUUGGUGAGGUAAUGGCUCACCAAGGCGACGAUCCGUAACUGGUCUGAGAGGAUGAUCAGUCACACUGGAACUGAGACGCGGGCCAGACUCCGACGGGAGGCAGCAGUGGGGAAUAUUGGACAAUGGGCGAAAGUCUGAUCCAGCCAUGCCGCGUGUGUGAAGAAGGUCUUCGGAUUGUAAAGCACUUUAAGUUGGGAGGAAGGGCAGUAAGUUAAUACCUUGCUGUUUUGACGUUACCGACAGAAUAAGCACCGGCUAACUCUGUGCCAGCCGCCGCGGUAAAAC